rnacentral:pre_miRNA from 1 species
CAAGUCGCAGACUGGGAAAUCUCUACAGGCAAAUGUGAUGUCUUUAUAGUAAUCUCACAAUUACCUAUAGAGAUUCUUCAAUCUGGCAUCUUC